rnacentral:lncRNA from 1 species
GGUCAGUUGACCCCUUUAGGAGUUAUUGCCCUUUAUAGUCAAUUUUUAACCAUUUUUCGUAAAUCUUAGUAAUCUUUUACAAAAAUCUUCUCCUCUGAAACUACUGGGCCAAAUACUUCCAAACUUUAAUUGAAUGUUCCUUAGGGUAUCUAGUUUGUAAAUUGUAUCCGAAGUUAUGAUCUAUCUACAAACAUGGUCGCCAUUGCUAAAAAUAGAACAUAGGGGUCAAAUGCAGUUUUUGGCUUAUAACUCAAAAACCAAAGC